UGCGUAGGCGGGUCUUUAAGUCAGGGGUGAAAUCCUGGAGCUCAACUCCAGAACUGCCUUUGAUACUGAGGAUCUUGAGUUCGGGAGAGGUGAGUGGAACUGCGAGUGUAGAGGUGAAAUUCGUAGAUAUUCGCAAGAACACCAGUGGCGAAGGCGGCUCACUGGCCCGAUACUGACGCUGAGGCGAAAGACUGGGGAGCGAAACA
rnacentral:rRNA from 1 species